GGGUAUGUAGCUCAGUGGCAGAGCAUGUGCCUACUAUGCAUGAGUCCCUGGGGUUCCAUCCCCA
rnacentral:tRNA from 1 species